rnacentral:rRNA from 1 species
AGUUUGAUCAUGGCUCAGAUUGAACGCUGGCGGCAUGCCUUACACAUGCAAGUCGAACGGCAGCGCGGGAGCAAUCCUGGCGGCGAGUGGCGAACGGGUGAGUAAUACAUCGGAACGUGCCCAAUCGUGGGGGAUAACGCAGCGAAAGCUGUGCUAAUACCGCAUACGAUCUACGGAUGAAAGCAGGGGAUCGCAAGACCUUGCGCGAAUGGAGCGGCCGAUGGCAGAUUAGGUAGUUGGUGAGGUAAAGGCUCACCAAGCCUUCGAUCUGUAGCUGGUCUGAGAGGACGACCAGCCACACUGGGACUGAGACACGGCCCAGACUCCUACGGGAGGCAGCAGUGGGGAAUUUUGGACAAUGGGCGAAAGCCUGAUCCAGCCAUGCCGCGUGCAGGAUGAAGGCCUUCGGGUUGUAAACUGCUUUUGUACGGAACGAAACGGCCUUUUCUAAUAAAGAGGGCUAAUGACGGUACCGUAAGAAUAAGCACCGGCUAACUACGUGCCAGCAGCCGCGGUAAUACGUAGGGUGCAAGCGUUAAUCGGAAUUACUGGGCGUAAAGCGUGCGCAGGCGGUAAUGUAAGACAGUUGUGAAAUCCCCGGGCUCACCUGGAACUGCAUCUGUACUGCGUUGCUGAGUACGCAGAGGGGAUGGAAUUC